AGCGAACGCUGGCGGCAGGCCUAACACAUGCAAGUCGAACGAAGUCUUCGGACUUAGUGGCGGACGGGUGAGUAACACGUGGGAACGUGCCUUUAGGUUCGGAAUAACUCAGGGAAACUUGUGCUAAUACCGAAUGUGCCCUUCGGGGGAAAGAUUUAUCGCCUUUAGAGCGGCCCGCGUCUGAUUAGCUAGUUGGUGAGGUAAAGGCUCACCAAGGCGACGAUCAGUAGCUGGUCUGAGAGGAUGAUCAGCCACAUUGGGACUGAGACACGGCCCAAACUCCUACGGGAGGCAGCAGUGGGGAAUCUUGCGCAAUGGGCGAAAGCCUGACGCAGCCAUGCCGCGUGAAUGAUGAAGGCCUUAGGAUUGUAAAAUUCUUUCACCGGGGACGAUAAUGACGGUACCCGGAGAAGAAGCCCCGGCUAACUUCGUGCCAGCCGCCGCCGUAA
rnacentral:rRNA from 1 species